rnacentral:lncRNA from 1 species
AAACACCCGAGCGCGCGCAGCCAGGUGCGCUCCUUGGGGCUGCUGGCUGCUGCGUUUGCGGCGGGAGGUGGUGGCCGCGGUCCCACGAGAGGGGGUAUUUUUCGUCAGCCAAGAUGGGUUCCAAAAGGAGAAAUUUGAGCUGUAGUGAAAGGCAUCAGAAAUUAGUAGAUGAAAACUACUGCAAAAAAUUACAUGUCCAAGCUCUAAAAAACGUCAACAGUCAAAUCAGGAAUCAAAUGGUGCAGAAUGAAAAUGAUAACCGUGUUCAGCGCAAGCAAUUUCUCAGAUUAUUACAAAAUGAACAAUUUGAGUUGGAUAUGGAAGAGGCCAUUCAAAAGGUAAGUUUUACUAUUCAUUGUUACUUUUUUUUUCAUUUUGCACCUUGGAAACGAUGAAAGUCAGCUGUUAAUGCUGGAAAUGAGUAGAUAAACAACAGCAGCAGGUAAGUGAUGCCUGAUUGUGCCUCAGCUCGGUGUAAUCGUAAAGACCUGGGUUUCUGGAGCCGGCCUGUCUUUGAAUCCUACUACUGCUAUACCUUAGCUACGGACCCUUGAGUAAGUUGCUUUUACUUUUUUUUUUUUUUG